rnacentral:rRNA from 1 species
CCGUGAUUGAAAGACCGUUUCCCCGCACAAUCAGCGAAGUUAAGAAACGCCGUGACUGGUCAGUACCUGGAUGCGUGACCGCUUGGGAAUACCAGGUGCUGUAAG